GGCAAUGUGCCUCAGUGGUGUAGUAGUACAGCUUCCCCGGAUAGGAUGAAACGCGGGUUCGAUUCCCGCCUGGAGCCA